rnacentral:rRNA from 1 species
GACGAACGCUGGCGGCGUGCUUAACACAUGCAAGUCGAACGGUGAAGCUCCAGCUUGCUGGAGUGGAUCAGUGGCGAACGGGUGAGUAACACGUGAGCAACCUGCCCCUGACUCUGGAAUAAGCGCUGGAAACGGCGUCUAAUACUGGAUACGAGAAGGGCCCGCAUGGGCACUUUCUGGAAAGUUUUUCGGUUGGGGAUGGGCUCGCGGCCUAUCAGCUUGCUGGUGAGGUAAUGGCUCACCAAGGCGACGACGGGUAGCCGGCCUGAGAGGGCGACCGGCCACACUGGGACUGAGACACGGCCCAGACUCCUACGGGAGGCGGCAGUGGGGAAUAUUGCACAAUGGGCGAAAGCCUGAUGCAGCGACGCCGCGUGAGGGAUGACGGCCUUCGGGUUGUAAACCUCUUUCAGCAGGGAAGAAGCGAAAGUGACGGUACCUGCAGAAGAAGCACCGGCUAACUACGUG